GAUGAACGCUGGCGGCGUGCCUAAUACAUGCAAGUCGAGCGAACAGACGAGGAGCUUGCUCCUCUGACGUUAGCGGCGGACGGGUGAGUAACACGUGGAUAACCUACCUAUAAGACUGGGAUAACUUCGGGAAACCGGAGCUAAUACCGGAUAAUAUAUUGAACCGCAUGGUUCAAUAGUGAAAGACGGUUUUGCUGUUACUUAUAGAUGGAUCCGCGCCGCAUUAGCUAGUUGGUAAGGUAACGGCUUACCAAGGCAAUGAUGCGUAGCCGACCUGAGAGGGUGAUCGGCCACACUGGAACUGAGACACGGUCCAGACUCCUACGGGAGGCAGCAGUAGGGAAUCUUCCGCAAUGGGCGAAAGCCUGACGGAGCAACGCCGCGUGAGUGAUGAAGGUCUUCGGAUCGUAAAACUCUGUUAUUAGGGAAGAACAAAUGUGUAAGUAACUAUGCACGUCUUGACGGUACCUAAUCAGAAAGCCACGGCUAACUACGUG
rnacentral:rRNA from 1 species